UUUCAUGAGAGUUUGAUCCUGGCUCAGGACGAACGCUGGCGGCGUGCCUAAUACAUGCAAGUCGAACGAACCGCAACUUGAACUUGUUCUCGUUAAGGUUAGUGGCGCACGGGUGAGUAACACGUGGGGAACCUGCCCUUUAGUGGGGGAUAACAGUCGGAAACGACUGCUAAUACCGCAUAGACAAUUUAACCGCCUGGUUAAGUUGGGAAAGGUGCUACGGCAUCAUUAAAGGAUGGCCCCGCGGUGCAUUAGCUAGUUGGUAAGGUAACGGCUUACCAAGGCGAUGAUGCAUAGCCGACCUGAGAGGGUGAUCGGCCACAUUGGGACUGAGACACGGCCCAAACUCCUACGGGAGGCAGCAGUAGGGAAUCUUCCGCAAUGGACGAAAGUCUGACGGAGCAACGCCGCGUGUGUGAAGAAGGUUUUCGGAUCGUAAAGCACUGUUGUUAGAGAAGAACGGCUA
rnacentral:rRNA from 1 species